CAAUAAGUUUAUUAUAUAUAUUCUUUUCAAAAUAACAAAAAAAAAAUUAAGUGCUAUAUUUUUUAAACUUAUAUAUAUAAAAACACAAUCUCAACUAAAUUUACAAAUAGUGUAUUAAAACGAAUAUAAACACAUUAUUUUCUUUUUUUCACUUUGAGGUGUGGAAAACAAAUUCAAUGGCAAUGCUUUCUAUGUAAAAUAAAUUUAAUGCUCUAUUUAGUUUUAGUAUAUAAUAAUUUUCAUUCUUAAAAUUUUAUAUAUGAGAAGAUAUUACUUAUACACAAAAUAAUAUCAAAAUUUUUUAAGAUAAUACAAAAAAAUAGAUUUUAAGCUUGACACAAAGAUUGAGCUCAUACCUUUCUAAAGGAGAAAUGUGGCUG
rnacentral:misc_RNA from 1 species